rnacentral:pre_miRNA from 14 species
GGUGGCAGGGCCACAACCAGCGCAGACAGGCAUGCCCCGGGCAUCUCUGGGCAAGUAUCUCUUUGAGUGCCUCCCUCUCAAGCAUGACUAGGAGGCCUCUGUGCCUUCC